AUUGAACGCUGGCGGCAGGCCUAACACAUGCAAGUCGAGCGGAGCGGCGGACGGGUGAGUAAUGCCUAGGAAUCUGCCUGGGAGUGGGGGAUAACGUCCGGAAACGGGCGCUAAUACCGCAUACUAUCAGAUGAGCCUAGGUCGGUUUAGGUAGUUGUUGGGGUAAAGGUCUACCAAGGCGACGAUCCGUAACUGGUCUGAGAGGAUGAUCAGUCACACUGGAAAUGAGAAACGGUACAUACUCCUACGGGAGGUAGCAUGGGGGAAUAUUGGACAAGGGGCGAAAGCCUGAUCCAGCCAUGCCGCGUGGGUGAAGAAGGCCUUCGGAUUGUAAAGCACUUUAAGUUGGGAGGCGUUACCAACAGAAUAAGCACCGGCUAACUUCGUGCCAGCCGCCGCGGUAAUUC
rnacentral:rRNA from 1 species